ensembl:lncRNA
UUUAUUUAUUUAUUUUUAAAUUGUCCAGCAGAUCUCAUGAUAAAAUGGUUGUGUAUUUUUAUUGCUAUACAGAGUCCAAAACGGAGCAGCUUCACACACGGGAUCACUGAAUCAUGAUAGUCUUCUAAUCACUACACGGUAGGUAAAGGAGACCACCACAAUUUAGGAUUCUGGAUCAGAGAUUAAAUUAAAAACUCAGAAAUCAUUCAGCAGCUCACGGCUUCACUAAAAAGCUCUCUGUGAACAAAACGCAUAGAACAACAUGGUGUAGUCUUUAAAUACUUACCUGUAGAUGAACCGCAGCCUUCGUUAUUCAAGUUAACACUGUUUCAGUAAUAUAUUCUAAUAAUAUAUACCUGCUAGGCUAACGCUAACUGCAGCUUGGAGACAUUAUUCAAGUAUAAAUGGAAUGAUUCAUCACGUAAACCAGUUUUUUCAUACGCACCUCAUUUCCUCCUUCUGCUUCUUCUUCUUCUUCUUUCUUCUGUGAAGCAGCUCUCUGGUUCUUCUAGCGCUGGACAAGUCUUUUAAUAAAUAAACACAAACCGCUUGUGUUAACAUCAACAUACAUUUAUAAAUUACAUUUUAAAUGAAAGUUUCUCACAUUUGAAGGAAAUCUGUGUAUUUCACUGUAAUGGACUUCUGAUGUUUUUAUCAAGAGGAGUCAAACUGAAGCUGUAGUUGUGCAGAGUAGCGAUGUGUUUCGAUUCAAAGUGAAUCAGAUCUCACUUAGACGGGUAGUUGGCAAGAAUCAGUAAAGUGUGUCGUAAUAGUGAGUCAAAUUAAUUAAAACACACUCAGAAGGAUAGUUUGAAAGAUGUGACUCGGUAAGUACAGUCUCAGAAAUAUGCCUAUGUUCUUCCUGUUAAUUCGGGCUCUUCUAUUUCCUACAGAUGGACAAGGAUUAUAUUAAUAGUCAACAGCACCCUGAGUAUUUCUGCUUAAUGGAAUCCAAAUAAACGGCACCAAUCCUAAUACGAUUAAACAUUAGUGAGAUUAAUGAUGAUCCUUAGAGCUGGAAUAUCUGCUGUGUCUCCAGUUCAAGUAUAAAAUCAGCCACCAGAUGGCAGUGUCUAAUGAAAUAUUAUUAAACUAUCGUGUGGGUAAAUCAGUAUGUUUACUGGACAACAAUAAUCCGAUAUUAACCCGAUUAAGACGAUACUCUGAUCAAGAAACUAGCAUGUAAAUAAAAAAUUUUUUAUUACCUUAAUCCGAUUAAAGUCAUACUCGAAGUAAACACAAAACAAAUUAAGACGUGUGGAGUAUUUCUGUUUUAGUCGAUCUGUGUUUUAUAAUAUAUAAAACAGGGAUAUUCUAAAAGCGACUCAUGUAAACACCUUAAUCACAGUAUUGUCUUAUUCAGAAUAAGGUCAAUAAUUAGAUUACCGCUGUCCAUAUAAAUGUUUUCACAUGAAAUGUAGACCCGACAUGGGUGUUAACUCGAUGAAGCUACACCGCUAAAGAAAUCAUAAUAUACCAAUCCAUAAAAAAGUUAUGUGCAAUAAAGUGGAAUGACACAGGAAUUAAGUAUUGAACAAGAAAAAACAGUUCUCCUACCUGUGCUAAUUAGAAUCAGCUGGGUUAGUGUAUGAUGGUAGGUUAGUACGUCCACUCUGUGGAAAAGGGGAACCCACCUCUGAAUACAAGUAAACAAAUCAUUUGUCACCAAACUGUCGCGCAAGAAACAUCUCAUGAUGAGUAGAAGCAAAGCGCUCUCCAAAGAAUUACUCCCAAAUGUUCCUUUAAGCACCAUUAGGUGACUAUCAACCGGCCACACGCAGGAGCUCCUCGCAAGAUUUCUGACAGGGCUGACAAAGUUACGCAGAGGAGAAGCCCAAGAGCCGAGGACCACUCGAAAAGCUCUCCAGAAAGAACUGGAAGCAGCGAGUACAGUCGUCAGAGAAAGCAAUAUGCAGUGCGCAAUACUGCUACAGUCUCCAUUCACCAUCACGCCUUGAUUCCAUUACUGUAGAAAAGGCAUGUUGAAGCUCGUUUCAAGCUUGCUACAGAACAUUUGGAGAAGCCUGUAGGUUACUGGGAGAAUGUAAUGAGGUCAGACGAGACAAAGAUCAAACUGUUCAAUGCUCUAUUGUUUUCUCUGCAUACGACUCUAAAAAUGAAGUUCGGAGGUGGAAGCAUCACGG